rnacentral:rRNA from 1 species
CCUACGGGAGGCUGCAGUAGGGAAUCUUCCACAAUGGGCGAAAGCCUGAUGGAGCAACGCCGCGUGGGUGAAGAAGGUCUUCGGAUCGUAAAACCCUGUUGUUAGAGAAGAAAGUGCGUGAGAGUAACUGUUCACGUUUCGACGGUAUCUAACCAGAAAGCCACGGCGAACUACGUGCCAGCAGCCGCGGUAAUACGUAGGUGGCAAGCGUUAUCCGGAUUUAUUGGGCGUAAAGGGAACGCAGGCGGUCUUUUAAGUCUGAUGUGAAAGCCUUCGGCUUAACCGGAGUAGUGCAUUGGAAACGGGGAGACUAGAGGGCAGAAGAGGAGAGUGGAACUCUAUGGGUAGCGGUGAAAUGCGUAGAUAUAAGGAAGAACACCAGUGGCGAAAGCGGCUCUCUGGUCUGUAACUGACGCGGAGGUUCGAAAGCGUGGGUAGCAAACAGGAUUAGAGACCCUAGUAGUC